GGACACCUGCGCGACUCCAGCUCCUAAUUUUCUUCCUGGGCGAGUCUCUGCUAAUACCUUAUUAACUCAUACAGCUGAAACAGAAAAUUUCCAUGUCCCGAGACAAGGUCAAUCACUCGAGGAGCAUUUAAUGAGCGAGUCAGAUGAUCUGGAUGCAUUUGCUGCUGAUGACUCUAGGCUUCUUUCUUCAGUAAAAUCUAUUGGGUCAGUCAUUUACUAAGAAGCACCACCAGAUUCACAACCGCAAUCCUCAAAUGAACUGGAUGAUGGUAACCAAAACACCGAUGGCACAAAGUCUCCAUUGGAAUCAAGGGACUCCAACCAAUUAAUCCAUUCUAUGACUAAUUCCCCAUGGCACCUACAAUUAAUCAUCAAACCUUCAUUAGGCUUGGCCAAGAAAAGAGUUCUCAUGGCAGAAUCCAGUAGUCUUCAUCAUCAACUUGCUGACCUGUUUCCUGGUUUGUUUCAAUUUCUUCUGCGUUUGUUUUUGUCGCAACAGAACAUUCAGACUGCCGUUAGUACUGUGCCAGUAGAAGCACCAAACAGGAUUCCAAAUUGUUAGAAGCUUUAGUGGAAAAUCGUAAAAGGUCAGUGGCAUAUGUAGGUGCCUUUCUUCUUAAGGAUGACCCAGAGACUGAUCCUAGUAUUGUAUCUGGGUCAGAUUCAGCGAAAAGCAUUAAUGACCUUAAAGGAAAAGAUUUAUUCAAGCGUCUUCAUGAAGUUGGUACUUUGGCUCAGAUAACCAGCAUCCAAGGGGAUCAAGUAGUGCUCGUUGGUCACCGGCGUCUGCGGAUAACUGAGAUGGUAGGUUGGGUUUAAUAGUG